AUUGCCCCAGUAACGGCGAGUGAAGCGGCAACAGCUCAAAUUUGAAAUCUGGCUCUUUUAGAGUCCGAGUUGUAAUUUGCAGAGGGCGCUUUGGCUUUGGCAGCGGUCCAAGUUCCUUGGAACAGGACGUCACAGAGGGUGAGAAUCCCGUACGUGGUCGCUGGCUAUUGCCGUGUAAAGCCCCUUCGACGAGUCGAGUUGUUUGGGAAUGCAGCUCUAAAUGGGAGGUACAUUUCUUCUAAAGCUAAAUAUUGGCCAGAGACCGAUAGCGCACAAGUAGAGUGAUCGAAAGAUGAAAAGCACUUUGGAAAGAGAGUCAAACAGCACGUGAAAUUGUUGAAAGGGAAGCGCUUGCAGCCAGACUUGCUUGCAGUUGCUCAUCCGGGCUUUUGCCCGGUGCACUCUUCUGCAGGCAGGCCAGCAUCAGUUUGGGCGGUAAGAUAAAGGUCUCUGUCACGUACCUCUCUUCGGGGAGGCCUUAUAGGGGAGACGACAUAUUACCAGCCUGGACUGAGGUCCGCGCAUCUGCUAGGAUGCUGGCGUAAUGGCUGUAAGCGGCCCGUCUUGAAACACGGACCAAGGAGUCUAACAUCUAUGCGAGUGUUUGGGUGUCAAGCCCGAGCGCGUAAUGAAAGUGAACGGAGGUAGGAACCCGCAAGGGUGCACUAUCGACCGAUCCUGAUGUCUUCGGAAGGAUUUGAGUAAGAGCAUGGCUGUUGGGACCCGAAAGAUGGUGAACUAUGCUUGAAUAGGGUGAAGCCAGAGGAAACUCUGGUGGAGGCUCGCAGCGGUUCUGACGUGCAAAUCGAUCGUCAAAUUUGGGCAUA
rnacentral:rRNA from 1 species